rnacentral:rRNA from 1 species
GGACUAGCCCUUAAGCUUUACACGCGUUAGACGAACGGUCUGGAAAGUCCGACGAUACAGGGUGAUAGUCCCGUAGUUGACGACGUGUGUUCAGUGAAAUCGAGUAGGGCGGGACACGUGAUAUCCUGUCUGAAUAUGGGGGGACCAUCCUCCAAGGCUAAAUACUACUGACUGACCGAUAGUGAACCAGUACCGUGAGGGAAAGGCGAAAAGAACCCCUGUGAGGGGAGUGAAAUAGAACCUGAAACCGUGUACGUACAAGCAGUAGGAGCAGGCUUUGUCCUGUGACUGCGUACCUUUUGUAUAAUGGGUCAGCGACUUAUAUUCAGUGGCAAGGUUAACCAUCUAGGGGAGCCGUAGGGAAACCGAGUCUUAACUGGGCGUUCAGUCUCUGGAUAUAGACCCGAAACCAGGUGAUCUAGCCAUGGGCAGGUUGAAGGUUGAGUAACAUCAACUGGAGGACCGAACCGACUAAUGUUGAAAAAUUAGCGGAUGACUUGUGGCUAGGGGUGAAAGGCCAAUCAAACCUGGAGAUAGCUGGUUCUCCCCGAAAGCUAUUUAGGUAGCGCCUCGGACGAAUACUACUGGGGGUAGAGCACUGUUAAGGCUAGGGGGUCAUCCCGACUUACCAACCCUUUGCAAACUCCGAAUACCAGUAAGUACUAUCCGGGAGACACACGGCGGGUGCUAACGUCCGUCGUGGAGAGGGAAACAACCCAGACCGCCAGCUAAGGUCCCAAAUUACUACUAAGUGGGAAACGAUGUGGGAAGGCUCAGACAGCCAGGAUGUUGGCUUAGAAGCAGCCAUCAUUUAAAGAAAGCGUAAUAGCUCACUGGUCGAGUCGGCCUGCGCGGAAGAUGUAACGGGGCUAAGUAGUAAACCGAAGCUGCGGCAAUGUGCUUUUGCACAUUGGGUAGGGGAGCGUUCUGUAAGCGGUUGAAGGUGUG